rnacentral:rRNA from 1 species
AAUAAGAUACCCAGGUAGUCCACGCCGUAAACGAUGAGUGCUAAGUGUUAGAGGGUUUCCGCCCUUUAGUGCUGCAGCUAACGCAUUAAGCACUCCGCCUGGGGAGUACGGUCGCAAGACUGAAACUCAAAGGAAUUGACGGGGGCCCGCACAAGCGGUGGAGCAUGUGGUUUAAUUCGAAGCAACGCGAAGAACCUUACCAGGUCUUGACAUCCUCUGACAACUCUAGAGAUAGAGCGUUCCCCUUCGGGGGACAGAGUGACAGGUGGUGCAUGGUUGUCGUCAGCUCGUGUCGUGAGAUGUUGGGUUAAGUCCCGCAACGAGCGCAACCCUUGAUCUUAGUUGCCAGCAUUUAGUUGGGCACUCUAAGGUGACUGCCGGUGACAAACCGGAGGAAGGUGGGGAUGACGUCAAAUCAUCAUGCCCCUUAUGACCUGGGCUACACACGUGCUACAAUGGAUGGUACAAAGGGCUGCAAGACCGCGAGGUCAAGCCAAUCCCAUAAAACCAUUCUCAGUUCGGAUUGU